rnacentral:rRNA from 1 species
GACGAACGCUGGCGGCGUGCCUAAUACAUGCAAGUCGAACGCUGAAGGAGGAGCUUGCUUCUCUGGAUGAGUUGCGAACGGGUGAGUAACGCGUAGGUAACCUGCCUGGUAGCGGGGGAUAACUAUUGGAAACGAUAGCUAAUACCGCAUAAUAGUAGAUGUUGCAUGACAUUUGCUUAAAAGGUGCAAUUGCAUCACUACCAGAUGGACCUGCGUUGUAUUAGCUAGUUGGUGAGGUAACGGCUCACCAAGGCGACGAUACAUAGCCGACCUGAGAGGGUGAUCGGCCACACUGGGACUGAGACACGGCCCAGACUCCUACGGGAGGCAGCAGUAGGGAAUCUUCGGCAAUGGACGGAAGUCUGACCGAGCAACGCCGCGUGAGUGAAGAAGGUUUUCGGAUCGUAAAGCUCUGUUGUAAGAGAAGAACGAGUGUGAGAGUGGAAAGUUCACACUGUGACGGUAUCUUACCAGAAAGGGACGGCUAACUACGUG